GAUGAACGCUGGCGGCGUGCCUAAUACAUGCAAGUCGAGCGAAUGGAUUAAGAGCUUGCUCUUAUGAAGUUAGCGGCGGACGGGUGAGUAACACGUGGGUAACCUGCCCAUAAGACUGGGAUAACUCCGGGAAACCGGGGCUAAUACCGGAUAACAUUUUGAACCGCAUGGUUCGAAAUUGAAAGGCGGCUUCGGCUGUCACUUAUGGAUGGGCCCGCGUCGCAUUAGCUAGUUGGUGAGGUAACGGGACACCAAGGCAACGAUGCGUAGCCGAACGGAGAGGGUGAUCGGCCGCACGGGGACUGAGAAACGGCCCAGACUCCUACAGGAGGCAGCAGUAGGGGAUCUUCCGCAAUGGACGAAAGUCUGACGGAGCAACGCCGCGUGAGUGAUGAAGGCUUUCGGGUCGUAAAACUCUGUUGUUAGGGAAGAACAAGUGCUAGUUGAAUAAGCUGGCACCUUGACGGUACCUAACCAGAAAGCCACGGCUAACUACGUGCCAGCCGCCGCGGUAA
rnacentral:rRNA from 1 species